GAAGAUAAUGAUGCAAGGAGACCACCUGAGCACCUCCACUCCCUCAACACUGUCCCCCUACUGCCUGAGUUUACUGAAUAUUUUUUCUUGCUUCAACUAUAUCAAGGGAGCAAGUGCAACAACCCAGAAGCUUAUGAUAUUGCUACUGUGGAGAUACCCGGAAGCUUGCAUUGAUCCAGAAUCGAUCUUCACUUCAGCUACAAGUGAGAUGCAUUUCACUACGUGGCUAUGUGCACAUAAAUCAGUCAAGGAGCAGGCUUCAGUGAAGUGUGAUCCAGUACAUUUGUGAACAUUGUGCAGUUCUUGCUGAAUUCUGGACUUGACUGAACGGGUUCCCCCUAUUCCAAAUUUCUUUUUAAGUAUUUGGCAGUUAUCUUCAGCGUCCAAAUGGAAGUACUCCCUCCAUCCCAUAAUAUAAUAUCUUAUUGCACUCAUUUUGCUCAAAAAUUGGAUGUAAUACGAUCUUAUAUUAUGGGACGGAGGGAGUACAAUUGAUUCAUAUUAUGUGUAUCUUUGUACUCACCAUUGCUGGAUGAAAAUUUGGACAUACAUAGAUAGCUCUAGAUGUAGCCUAAAUGCUUUUUUACUCCUCAUAUAAUCACUGUUGUGAAUCCUUGUGCCUUUGCAACACCUCAUGUCCUAUAGGAAUGAUGUUCUAACCUAUCUGUGUAAAUUUAAAUUUUAAAUAUUGCAAAUAAAUUAGAAGAUAGACAUGCUUCCAUCCAUGCAGCAAGGCCAACAACAUGCAAGAGCACUGCCUUUUUAUUUAGCAUGCCAGUAAUAUUAUAGCUCUGGGGAUAAUAUUCUUGCACACUUUAGAUGCCAUUUGAUAGAUUGGGAGGACAGGUAAAUUUACAUAUGACAGCAGAGUUCUCUUCACCAAGUAUAUGUCAAUACAUGUCUCAAUGGCAUGGCUUUGGGAUCGAGAUCUACCUUGCUAACGUUACAGAUCAAUUGUCAAUAGCUUGUUGAAAAUCUCCCCUUGUUUGUAAUGUAAGGAUCUUAUGU